AAUGGGCGAAAGCCUGACGCAGCGACGCCGCGUGGGGGAAGAAGGCCUUCGGGUUGUAAACUCCGUUUAAUACGGGAAGAAGCCGAAAGGUGACGGUACCGUAAGAAUAAGCCACGGCUAACUCUGUGCCAGCAGCCGCGGUAAGACAGAGGUGGCAAGCGUUGUUCGGAUUUACUGGGCUUAAAGGGCGUGUAGGCGUCCUAGUAAGUCAGAUGUGGAAGCCUUGGGCUCAACCCAAGAAUUGCAUUUGAAACUAUUAGGAUUGAGUCGUGCAUGGGAGGGCGGAAUUCCUGGUGUAGCGGUGAAAUGCGUAGAUAUCAGGAGGAAGGCCGGUGGCGAAGGUGGCCCUCUGGGCAAUGACUGACGCUGAGGCGCGAAAGCGUGGGUAGCAAACAGGAUUAGAUACCCUGGUAGUCCACGCCCUAAACGGUGCGUACUAGGUGUGGGUGGCGAUAGUCAUCCGUGCCGAAGGGAAACCAUUAAGUACGCCGCCUGGGGAGUACGGCCGCAAGGUUG
rnacentral:rRNA from 1 species